CCUACGGGCGGCAGCAGUGAGGAAUAUUGGUCAAUGGACGAGAGUCUGAACCAGCCAAGUAGCGUGAAGGAUGACUGCCCUAUGGGUUGUAAACUUCUUUUAUAAAGGAAUAAAACGAGGCACGUGUGCCUUUUUGCAUGUACUUUAUGAAUAAGGAUCGGCUAACUCCGUGCCAGCAGCCGCGGUAAUACGGAGGAUCCGAGCGUUAUCCGGAUUUAUUGGGUUUAAAGGGAGCGUAGAUGGGUUGUUAAGUCAGUUGUGAAAGUUUGCGGCUCAACCGUAAAAUUGCAAUUGAUACUGGCAGUCGUGAGUACAGUUGAGGUAGGCGGAAUUCGUGGUGUAGCGGUGAAAUGCUUAGAUAUCACGAAGAACUCCGAUUGCGAAGGCAGCUUACUAAACUGCCACUGACAUUGAUGCUCGAAAGUGUGGGUAUCAAACAGGAUUAGAUACCCCUGUAGUC
rnacentral:rRNA from 1 species